rnacentral:lncRNA from 1 species
CACCUGUCUGAGCCUCCCAAAGUGCUCAUCUCGUUGCUCUGGGGGAGCCAGGAUGUGUGAGCCACCACACCUGGCCAUAUUCUCAUUCUUAAAAGGAGAUGUGUAUGUAUAUACCACAUUUAAUGAGUUCUUAUUAUAAGCCAAGUACUCUACAUAUAUCAUCUCAUUUAAGUCUCAAAACAACCCUAUAAGAUAUUAUCAUUCCAAUUUUUCAGUUGGGAAAACUAAGGCCCAGGGAGGUGAACUAACUUAUUCAAGGCCACAUAACUAGUAAGUGGUGGAGUCUGAAUUUGAACCCAGAACUUGUUCUUGUAACAAUUAUUUCUACAGACUUUACAUAGAACAAGAAAGAAAUGCAUUAAAAUGUGUCUCCUUUAAGGAUUUUUUCCCUGUACUUUUCACAUUUUCUUCAAGGAGUACCUAUUACAUUUAUAACCAGGAAAAAUAACACUUAUUGAUUUUAUAAAUAAAAAUAAAACAGAGUUCUCUCUUCCAGGAAUCCAAACGAAAUAUCCAUUCCCAUUCAUCAUGUUUCUCAAAGGCAUGUCUAUUGGCAUUCAGAGUGGAUAAUUCUUACCUGUGAGGGGCUGCCGUAUGUGCUGUGAGAUAUUCAGCCCCUGCCCACCAGAUGUCCUGUAUCAGACACUGUCAGUUCCCUAUAGCGAUCCUUCAACACUCACCUCCACACUCAAGAGUGCCAGCUGCAAACACCUGGGGCUCUCUGCCUGGUAACUUUGCUCUGGCUAAAAAACACACGUGGUUCUCACCCAAAACAACCAGAAGUACUAGAGUGUCAAUGCCCCUGGAAGCAGCCCUCAAGCAAUGUUGAGCUAGAAUUUGGUGGAUAAGCCCCCCAGCUUCCUUGCUCUUCAAUUGCAAUGACUCUGGGGCACGUUCUUCUUGCUCCCCCAGAGUUCUCCAGCAGGACUGAGCUCCAGUUGCCCAUGGUUGUAACUGGAUGACACACCCUUGAUGGGUUUCCCUAUCUCACUUAUGCUCACCUAACAGUGUUUCCUGGGAUCAACUCUCAAAUAAAUUAUUUGUCCUCAUAUCCUUGUCUCAGCAUCUGCUUGUAGGAAAGUCAAACCAAGGCAGCUCCACAGGAUACUGAUACUGAAAAAAAUUCCUACGUUUUUCCAAACAGUCUUAGGGAGGUGUGGAGGGUACAGUACUAUUCCUGCAUAAGGAACAUUUAAGUUCCACAGCUGCUUUCUAGCUAGAGAACUUAGGCUCCAAGAACCCAAUGCCAGGGUCAUUUCAUGGAACGCUACCUUCCCAAAGUCCUUCAAACCUCUAUGCCUGCUGCCAACAUCCCAUUCUCCAGCUAUUUCAAUCCAGUCUCUCCCUGCAGGUUCAAGAUUCACCAGUGACUUUUAGUUCAAACGUGCAAGGUCAACAAAAAAAGCAGAAUAAUCCAUGGCUUUGGGCUCAGCAAUCUUCCAGGAAGAAACAAUCAUCAUCGUAACAAUGCCAGAUGCUAGCAUGUAUUGACUGACUGUCAAGUACCUGAGAGAGGGUUUCUGACCCUUGAGCCUAAAAGACUACGGCAUACUACAGGGCAUAUGCCAAGAUGAGAGCAAAAUGGAAAACAGAAAGCAGAUGAGGUGGAUGCAGUUUCAAAUGUGGCUGUGCGCUUCUGGGUAAACAAAGUGAAAAGGGAAAUUCGGUCAACUACAUUGUUCUCAUUAAGCAUGAAGUGAGAAUGCUCAAGUUCCUUAGGACCAGCAAAGCUUUUUUCUAGCACUUAUUUCUCAAAGCACAAUAGGCAUUAUACAAGGAACUACUGGGAGAUAUGGAGGAUGCUGUCUUCAUUAACUGACACUUUGCAGCGAAUUCAAUAAUGGGAUGUAUAAGGCUGCUGUUCAGAGCAUCUGUUAUGAACACUGAGGGACUCAUGCUUCCAUGGUUGGUCAACUUGAUUCUGUGCAGUUGGAAGAAAGGCAAUGUGGUCUGAGUAUGCCAGCAUCCAGAGGCUCUCUGCAAGUGUCAGUGUUCCAGGAACUGGUCCCCAAACAUUUUAGCCACAACUGACUCUCAGCCCAUUUCUGCCCUUUCCCUCUCAGUGCAAGCUCAUUUGUACCAACUUCUGAAGGUUCCACUCUCCCGUCCCGAGGAGGGAAAUACAAGAGAAUUGAAACCUCCUGCCCUUCAUCCCUGAGAAGGGUUGCACAGAGGUGCCUGCAGAUGUCAAGAACUGUCCUCCACAGCAUCCCUGUUCUUUACCUCCUGUCUCCAUGAUUAAUUCAAGCUGUUGGGAUCUCACAUUACCAUCAGGCUGUCACUGCACUGAGGGUCCCAAAUGGCUCCAGCCCAAGCAACAAAUUAAUCCAGGCUGCUGAGCUUCUGGAAGAUGAAGAACUGACCCAUCGGAAAAUAUACAGAUUGGAACAAGCAUAGCUUUAUUCUUCCCCUUCUCGGGAUGGACCCCAACACCUAACCAAGGCUUUCCCUCUUACACUAAGCUUUGAGGACAGCCAUGGCCUCAUAAGAAUCACAAUCCAUUCUACAAGUCCAGCAACAGUUCAUCAAGGAGAGACUGGUGGCCACUGGCCAAGAUCUCUGUAUGCUCCUCAAGGGUUUCAAUAGUUGGAUUCCAUUUACCUCUCUGGAUUCCAGCUGCCUCACCUUAUAAAAUCACAGCUGGUACCAAUCCUCCAGGCUCAGCUCACAGCAAAAGGGCAAAAGAUAUAUCUAGGUCUAAAUAGACCAAAAGCAAAAAAAAGUCUCCAGUAUCCACUGUUAUGGACUGAAUGUUUGUGUGCCCUCAAAAUUCAUAUGUUGAAACCCUAACCCCCAAUGGUUCUGUAUUUGAAGAUGGGGUCUGUGAGAAGAUGACAAAGAUCAAAUGAAGUCAUAAGGAUGGGGCCCUAAUCUCACAGGGUGGGUCCCCUUAUCAGAAGAGGAAGAAACACCAGAGUGCUCUCUCUCUUUCCACCAUGUGAGGACACAGCAAGAAGGUGGCUGUCUGCAAGCCAGGAAGGGAGCCCUCUCCAAAACUGUCCCUGAUGGACUUGGUCUGGUAUGUCUACCCUCCAGAAUUGUGAGAAAAUAAAUUCCUGUUGUUUAAGCCA